rnacentral:piRNA from 1 species
UGCCAAUGGGAGUUUCUCCUCUUGU